AUUGAACGCUGGCGGCAUGCCUUACACAUGCAAGUCGAACGGUAACAGGUCUUCGGAUGCUGACGAGUGGCGAACGGGUGAGUAAUACAUCGGAACGUGCCUAGUAGUGGGGGAUAUCUACUCGAAAGAGUGGCUAAUACCGCAUGAGAUCUACGGAUGAAAGCAGGGGAUCGCAAGACCUUGUGCUACUAGAGCGGCAGAUGGCAGAUUAGGUAGUUGGUGGGAUAAAAGCUUACCAAGCCGACGAUCUGUAGCUGGUCUGAGAGGACGAUCAGCCACACUGGGAGUGAGACACGGCCCAGACUCCUACGGGAGGCAGCAGUGGGGAAUUUUGGACAAUGGGCGCAAGCCUGAUCCAGCAAUGCCGUGUGCAGGAUGAAGGCCUUCGGGUUGUAAACUGCUUUUGUACGGAACGAAAAGCCCUGGGUUAAUACCCUGGGGUCAUGACGGUACCGUAAGAAUAAGCACCGGCUAGCUACGUGCCAGCCGCCGCUGUAACAC
rnacentral:rRNA from 1 species